rnacentral:rRNA from 1 species
GACGAACGCUGGCGGCGUGCUUAACACAUGCAAGUCGAACGGAAAGGCCCUGCUUUUGUGGGGUGCUCGAGUGGCGAACGGGUGAGUAACACGUGAGUAACCUGCCCUUGACUUUGGGAUAACUUCAGGAAACUGGGGCUAAUACCGGAUAGGAGCUCCUGCUGCAUGGUGGUGGUUGGAAAGUUUCGGCGGUUGGGGAUGGACUCGCGGCUUAUCAGCUUGUUGGUUGGGUAGUUGCUUACCAAGGCUUUGACGGGUAGCCGGGCUGAGAGGGUGACCGGCCACAUUGGGACUGAGAUAAGGCCCAGACUCCUACGGGAGGCAGCAGUGGGGAAUAUUGCACAAUGGGCGGAAGCCUGAUGCAGCAACGCCGCGUGCGGGAUGACGGCCUUCGGGUUGUAAACCGCUUUCGCCUGUGACGAAGCGGGAGUGACGGUAAUGGGUAAAGAAGCACCGGCUAACUACGUG